AGUGACUGACUGACUGACUGACUGACUGACUGACUGACUGACUGAUCACAUAAAAUACUGUGUCAGCAGCUGUUCACUCUAUUAAUCUUCCCUCAGUGUAUUUAUUUUAGUUUUUACUCUUUGUACUCUGCUCUCCAUAUUAUCUAAUCUUCUGAACACUCUAUCUUUAGCUUCUCCUUCAUUUCAGCUUGCUCUUGUUUUUUACGUGCAAUCUUAUUUGUGACAACGGAGUUAUUUUUCAUUUUUAAAGGUAGCACCUUUAACAGAAUACCAUCCUUCCCCUCGGCUCACCUUGAGUACUCUCGAAUGAAUCGCUUCUCCCGCAGGCACAAGCCACACGUACAACACACAUACACACACACACACACACACACACACACGGGGGUGAAUUUCAGCUCCCACCAGAAUGAGGUUACCACCAAGGAUGCAGAGGGCAGUCUGAGGAAGCAGGUUGUGGAUGAUGGAUGGUUCUGGGGCAUUUUUUUUUGUUUCAACAGGCUUAGUUAGCCUGAGAACACAAACACAACCACUUUGGUAGGUCAUUAUUGUUUCCAAACAGAUUUGAU